rnacentral:ncRNA from 1 species
CCGUAAGGCUGGGGGUGCCCUGCUGCCGUUCCCGGCACGGUUGACGUACCCAAUACGGCUCGUCAGAUGCAUUCUGCAGGGCUGAGAAACACCCUUCGAACCUGAUCCGGUUAACACCGGCGUAGGAAAGCCUGUCCAGAGCCCG